CCUACGGGAGGCAGCAGUAGGGAAUUUUCGUCAAUGGGCGCAAGCCUGAACGAGCGAUGCCGCGUGAGUGAAGAAGGCCUUCGGGUCGUAAAGCUCUGUUGCGGGGGAAAAACGGCAGCAUCAGGAAAUGGGUGCUGACUGAUGGUGCCCCGCCAGAAAGUCACGGCUAACUACGUGCCAGCAGCCGCGGUAAUACGUAGGUGGCGAGCGUUAUCCGGCAGGAUUGGGGGUAAAGGGUGCGCAGGCGGGCCUGCAAGUCUGGAGUGAAACGCAUGAGCGCAACUCAUGCAUGGCUUUGGAAACUGGAGGACUGGAGAGCAGGAGAGGGCGGUGGAACUCCAUGUGUAGCGGUAAAAUGCGUAGAUAUAUGGAAGAACACCAGUGGCGAAGGCGGCCGCCUGGCCUGUUGCUGACGCUGAGGCACGAAAGCGUGGGGAGCAAAUAGGAUUAGAUACCCCAGUUGUC
rnacentral:rRNA from 1 species